rnacentral:sRNA from 1 species
AAUACAAAUACUUCAAUUUUAAAGUCAUCUCUUAUUUUACUUCUUUAUAUCUGCAAUAUCUUUGAUAUUGUUUCAAAGGCAGCGUCUGCGUCAUGUAGUUACUUAUUUGUGCACAUUUUACAUUUUUUUUUAGACUUCCAAGCUUUGGGUGUCAACGAAUGUUUGUAAACUGAAUUACUGAUGAUGAGAAGAAGAACACAUUACAAUUGGUUGGAGCUAAUGAUGAAAUAAGCGGACAUGUAUAUACCCAGCAUAAUUUUCGUACUUAUACUCUCUUAUAUUUCUAAACUCUUGAUUUGUUAGUUAUUGCCUAUCGCAAUUGAUUCAUUGGGUAGAAAAGUUGUACCUUCUUUAUAUCUUUUUCUUAAUCUUUGUAUAUUCUUCGAUCAAUGAUAAUAAAUUUGUUGUAUAUUAAUACUGUCUGCUUUAUUUUAAAAUUU